rnacentral:rRNA from 1 species
GACGAACGCUGGCGGCGUGCCUAAUACAUGCAAGUUGAGCGAUGAAGAUUGGUGCUUGCACCAAUUUGAAGAGCAGCGAACGGGUGAGUAACGCGUGGGGAAUCUGCCUUUGAGCGGGAGACAACAUUUGGAAACGAAUGCUAAUACCGCAUAACAACUUUAAACAUAAGUUUUAAGUUUGAAAGAUGCAAUUGCAUCACUCAAAGAUGAUCCCGCGUUGUAUUAGCUAGUUGGUGAGGUAAAGGCUCACCAGGGCGAUGAUACAUAGCCGACCUGAGAGGGUGAUCGGCCACAUUGGGACUGAGACACGGCCCAAACUCCUACGGGAGGCAGCAGUAGGGAAUCUUCGGCAAUGGACGAAAGUCUGACCGAGCAACGCCGCGUGAGUGAAGAAGGUUUUCGGAUCGUAAAACUCUGUUGGUAGAGAAGAACGGUGGUGAGAGUGGAAAGCUCAUCAAGUGACGGUAACUACCCAGAAAGGGACGGCUAACUACGUG